rnacentral:rRNA from 1 species
AUUGGUGAAGGCUGAGAGAGCCACAACAUUGUUCUCUUCCUGGCUCAUUGUGGAGUAAGAUUUUCAUCGGGAGGGGGCAUGGACAAGUCCCAGCCUGGCUUUUAUACUACUACUUCUAGAGGUAAGUUUCCCACCAAAAUGUACCUCCAAAAUUUGAAACCAGACAAUGGAAAUAUCCGGGACAACUGUUUUUAUAACACUCCUACUUGUUUUUUCACAUAUAACACCUCCAUACAAUAAGAAGUUUCACUGUUGGGUCUCUUGUUUCAGUGACAUGUAAUUUUUAAUGUGAUAUAAUACUGCCAAAAGGAAUUUACAUAUGAAUGCUAACUAGGUGGCCAAUGUGUAAAAUUUACAUGUCUGCUACCAAAUAGUACUAACCAUUAAGGCAGUGUAGUGUGUUGUCAUAUCCAUGUCCAAUCUAUUUCAUAGACCGAGGCAACGACUUCUGUCACAGCACGCGUGGUACUAGGCAACCCAUCUCUCCCACUAUCUCUGCCCAUACCUCAACCUCACAGCCAUACAAGCACUCUGUAACCCAGAGCUCUCACUCAAUCGCCAUUGAUGUUCUUCUUCUACCUCUUGACUGCAUCAGCUAAAGAGUGAUACUUCUCUUCCAAUCUCAAUCCAAAUAUCUCGGCGCUUAUGAUGGCAACUAGAGUUGUACUGAUCUGAAGAAACACAAGAUUCUUUAACAAAAAGAGGUUAGUAAGGAUUUUGUUUCAGUUAGUUCAAUCUCUUAAAUUUUCUUUCUGUUGAACAAACAUAUUUCUGCUCCAUUCGAGCAGAACUUACCAUUUUCUUCCAAUCUGCUACAUACCUCUAUGUUUAUUUGGACCAUCAAAUCGGAAGCCUGCAAGAUAGCUUAAUUUUUUUUCUACACUGAAAUAUGUUAAGUUAAUGAUAUAGUAUUUCAAUUCCUGUUACAAUGGUUUGCUGGAAUAUGGUAAACAUGUAUAUCACCUUUCACUUUUUAUUCACUGGAAAACACAUUACAAUAAUAGAAAUGUAUAUCAUGAAUAAGUAUUGUAUAACAUAUUUAGUGAUAUGUACAGAAUUUUAGUUCUGCAUUGAAAUGUGAAUAUUUAGUGAUAUAUCAUUUCACUUGCUACUACAAAGGUUAACUCCAAUAUUGUUUCAUUAAUUACAGUUGUAAGUGUAAUAUUAUUGACGUGCUCGCUAAAAAACAAAUGUAAAUUUUCAUCGAGUGAAAAAUAGAAGACAUUAAUAAACAUGUAUAUCCUCAAGAUAUAUCCUAUAACAUAUUUACUGAUAUGUAUAUAUAUAUAUAUAUAUAUAUAUAUAUAUAUAUAUAGUAAAUAACCAGAAAAUAGGUUGUGUUCUUACAUUCCACAACUAAGCUAACUCAUCUAAUUUCCUGCAUAUUGGAAUUAGAUUUAACACAGAAAGAAUGGAAUAUUUUACUUGACCAUUGUAUAUCAACUUUUGUUAUUAGCAACUUUAUCCAUAUAAUUUUUCAUUAUACAUAUUUAAAGAAAUGAUUGAAACAGAGUUCAUUUAAAGUGAAAGAAAUCUAAUUUGUUACCUACUGUACUUUCCUAGGAUUUGCUACAACAUGUCAGGACAUGAUCAUAGUUCAGAGAGGACGUCCAAUGAUUCUAAAAAUUUAGAUGCUUCUGAAUGUGAUGCAGCAACUCCUAGAAGUUCUUGCAAAAAGGUUGCAGCAGUGAUAAGCAAGUUUGAUAAUUAUAAAAGGAAGCUUGUGAAAGAUAUGGAUUUUGGAGGACUGUUGGACCUUCCACAAAUAAACAGUUAGAUAGAAAGUUCAGAGUACUGCUACUCUGCAACACUGAUCCUGAUACUAGAACAAUAAGACUGAAUGAAAAAGUUUCGCUGCGAAUAACUGAUGAUGAUGUACACAGAAUUCUAAGAAUACCUAAAGGUUCUAAGAUAUUGAGAGGAUUGGACUGCCAAUCAGUAGACGAGAAAAUAAAAUUCUUGUGACUUAUAAUGGGAUCUGUUACAUACGAUCCUCAAGAGAUGAACAACUUGAAGGUGGCUGAAACAAUAAUAAGCAGGGAGUACCCAAAUGGUAUGGAUGCAACACAGGUUGACCAAUUCAAGACUUCUUUUGUUUGCUUCAUACUGGGUUAUUUCUUAAUAGCUUGUAGCAAUGCAAAUCAUGGUGCCAAAGAUUUCUGGGGUUCACUACUCACACCAAAUGAAAUACCAUCAUACAACUUCUGCUCAGCAGCAAUUGAUGAAAUUAUGAAUGCAGCAAGAAAAGCUCAGAAUGAAUUGAAAACCAAAAAAUCUAUCAAAUAUGUUUCUAGCUGUCCGCUACUCUUGCAGGUGAGUAAUUUAAUUCAAAUAAGUACGAUGCAUAUUCAUUUUUUUCUUUCUUCUAGUUUAUCAUUUGACAAUUCAAUGAAACUAAUUGUUUUGCUUUCAUAAAAAUACAACAGGCUUUCGUUUUAGACAGCCUCAAUCUUGGCUUUCUGAACAUACCUGAUUAUGUAGUGCCUACUAUAUCUGCGUUUGAUUGUGAAAAGAUGUCAAAGAUGAUAGAACUUGUGAGGCAGAAGUCUGAUAAUGAUUAUUUUGGAUCUAAUGAGGUGCAAUUAUAUUUAGUAUGCUAUAAUAUAAAUUUAUUAGAUUUUGUGUAACUAAUCAAAUUUGUUUUCUAUGUUUAUCAGGUAAAGUCAUUCAGGAACAGGAAACAAAAUGUUCGUAACGAAGCUGCUACUAAAUACAAUUUUGCAACUGUUACAAUGAAUAAACCUCCAUUUAUACCUUACCAAGGCACAAGCAAGCCUGCAGCAGUACAAACUACUAGUCAUGCAAAGCGCCCACUCAAUAUUUUCCUGGAUUCUUAUGUACAAGGAACAACACCAAAGAAGGUACAUACUUCUAACAUUUGGAUAGUACAUAAAUUUUAGAAGAAUGAACUUUCAAUGCUAACACUUUUUAUUUGAUCAGCUAUCCAUUCCUCAAAUAAUUGAUCUUAGAUGGCACAGUGCUAGGAUCAUAAGACAUAUGAAUGAGUUCAAAUCAAUUGCACAGCCAAUUUGUAAUAACCAAGCAUUGUCAACAUCAGCAACGGAUAAUUUAUCUGCCAAAAUAGACAAUCUUUUGGAAAUCAUUUUAAAUGAUAACCUUGAAUUAGCAAAGAGGCUUCAUGAGCAUGUCCCGGCAGUAGAAGUUCGAUCAGAAGGUCCACCAAAGUGCAUAAACAAUUUAAAGUGUUCUGGAAGUGAAUAUAGCGGAGCUGAUUCAAAUAGUGAUUGUAAGUAGUUUGCAACAAAAUUUAACUUUUGCUACGCAUACUAUUUACUGAUAAGUUUUUUCUAUUAAUGAUUCAGGCACUUCCAAAAAAAUCGACUCAUCCAAAAGCAAAAUGUUUCAAAUUGCUGGUAAGAUAUAUGAACUCAUAGUAUUUUAUUCUGCAAUGAUUACGUUAUAUGUCAUGUGUUUUCUAUACUGAAAUAAGUCCAACAACCAUAGUUAUCUGGUUGAUACUAAUUAAUUUGCAAAUAUUUUAGUUUCAGGAGAUAUGGAUGCAACAAGAACACCAACUAAUGCACUAGAAACACCAUGUUCUAAUACAUAUCGAGAUUUUGAGAAUGUACAAACACCAAGGAAUGAACUUUCACCAGCAACAGUUGCUAGUAGGAUGUCAGAAACAGCUGUUGCAUUCCGUUUGUUUCAGCGAGAAGAUAUCCUUAACUUAAAUGCAAGAGCACUUGAAGCAGAGUUCACGGACUCACCGAUUGAGAAAAUUAAAGUAAGCAACGGUCAAUUGGCAAGUAAUCAUGUGCUUGUCGGUACUACAAUGCUUCAAAAAUCAUCAGCCAUGCUAGCUACAUUCUCAAAUUGGGUACUACACAGCAAGCAAGAGGAAAAUGAAGUGUAAGUAUAGUGCAUUUAAAGAAUGACAUAUACAAAAUAUAUACAUUUAUUAAUACAGCUCAUACAUUAACUAUAACAGGUGCUGGAUAAUAAACUAUGAACCAAGGUACAUAGAGGUCACAGGGAAUGAAUUGAAGGAUACACUCGUACUAUUCAAACCAUUUAGCUAUGAAGUAUUUGAUUUAUGUAUCAGAAGAUUGGUUCAACUAGAAAUGUUGAUUUAUGGCACAUCAAAGAAGCAAAGGUGUAGGCAUAUAAUGGAGUCCGACUUCGCUGUAAGUUUCCUAAAAUUAAACAAGAUAUAAAUAUUAACAUUAGAUUAUUAGUAAUUAUUGUGUGUUUUUUAAUAUGAAUGGAAAAUAAUGCAAUUUGAUAUAAUGAAUGUAGAUGAUGGUUCUAGGAAAUGAAAAUGUUAUGUCCAGCAGAUCUAUUCUUGAUCAGUUUAGGAAGAUUGCAGUAUUCUAUGAUAUAUCAGAGUGCAGAACCGUAAGUUUGUUGGCAUCAAAUAAAUAUAUAUGUUUCGAAGUUUUUUAUUUUCAGAAAUAAUAUGUAAGGAGCAAUCAAAUUACGGCGUAUUAACUAAGUUAUUAAUCUCUGUGCAGAUUAUAGUUCCUGCUCUAGUUAAUGUUACAUGGUGCUCGUAUUUCUUUGACAUGAUGCUAAAAUGUGUACAUGUUGCUGACCCAACGUAUGUACGAUCAAAUGAAAUUGAACUAAAGAAGAUGCAUGAUUCAAACGUCAAGAAAAUUCUAUGUGCAAUGACAAAAGUAGUGAAAGAGCUUUACUCUGGAUGGGAAGUUGAUUUCACCACAUGGGACACCAAUUACUUGAAGCCUAUAAUUCACGGUGCUAGCAGGUACUAUUGCUUAAACUUUGAGAAUGCAUUCACAAGUAAUAUUUGUGUAUAGGUUUUUCUAAUACUGAAAUGUUCGACAACGACGACUCUGGUUUGGUGACGAUUAUAUCCAUUCGGGAUUUCCAUGGAGACACAAUUAUUGAAUCCCACACACAGGUAAUUAUCAAAAAUAGUGACAUCUUCUAUCCAUAUACCUUCUUGAAAAUCUGUUGCAUCUUACUAAGAUUUCAUUACAUGUUCCUUCUUCCGCAGGAAACAAUAAUGCCAUUCAAGCCUUUGUUGUUGUAUGAGUUGAUGUCCAUUAAAGGAAACCAUGGAACAGUUCCUACUUCCUACAUAGAAACAAUUGAUGAUUAGGGGAAUAGCACCAGAGUUGAAUUGAACAAUUGGACGUGAUAUUUAAAUAUUUUGUAUGAGAUAUUUAUGUUAUCUACUUUCAUGAUACUUGAGGACAAUUAUUAUUUGUAUUCAAAGUAUCAUAAAAAUUAUGGAAAACUUUCCAGAUUUCAAUUUACUUUGAAAGUAGUUAAUCUAUCUGCAUUAUAUCACAUGUACCUGUACCAUAAUAUGCAGAACGUAACAAAUUUCAACUUAUUCGAAUAUCAUUUCCUAUCCAUUUGUAAUUUUUCAACCGCUCUAUAAAAUAUUCACAAGUAAACAAAUAAUUGUAAGUAAAAUAAUGUACUCCAUCUGUUCAAAUUACUUCCUGUUAUAAUAAUGCAUUACGUACAGUACUAGAUUAACGAUAAGUAAUUGUAAUCUUAGACUUGUAGUUAUGCUCGUACGGUUUACAUAAAUGUAAUUUCACAUUACAAACAUUAUUAAAAUAGCUUAACUUAAAACAAAUAAUAAUCAUGAAUGCCCCAAAUCUUGCACAAUGAAUGUCAACCCUAAGACGUAAAUUAUUAUAAGUGAUAAUUGAAAUUGAUUUUUAGUUUCAUUUGACUAUAAAAGAAAGUAAUAACUGCAAUUGAAAAGAAGUCAAUAAUAUUGAAAUAUGAAACAUACAACUAUAAGUUACUAAUCUAUGUUGAAAUUAAAAAAUAAAGAAACAAUGUUUAAUUGUUAUUAAUUAUAAUACUUGAGAAAAAGACAUAUCAUUA